GCGUUGGUGGUGUAGUGGUGAGCAUAGUUGCCUUCCAAGCAGUUGAGCCAGGUUCAAUCCCCAGCUAAUGGA
rnacentral:tRNA from 1 species